rnacentral:rRNA from 1 species
AUUGAACGCUGGCGGCGUGCCUAACACAUGCAAGUCGAGCGGUAACAGGUGUAGCAAUACAUGCUGACGAGCGGCGGACGGGUGAGCAAUAUUUGGGAAUCUGCCUAUUAGUGGGGGACAACCCGGGGAAACUCGGGCUAAUACCGCAUACGCACUACGGUGGAAAGCCGGGGACCGCAAGGCCUGGCGCUAAUAGAUGAGCCCAAAUCGGAUUAGCUAGUUGGCGGGGUAGAAGCCCACCAAGGCUACGAUCCGUAGCUGGUCUGAGAGGACGAUCAGGCACACUGGAACU